CCCCCUCCAAAUCAACGUUCGCUUGCUCACAGGAUAAACUUGUCCACCCCGCGAUCCCCUCCGGAGCAGAUGAAAUCAUGAAAGAUGACCCUAAUUAUCCCGGGAUGCUUUAAAGUCAGAGCCGUUCGAGAUGGGAACUUGGGAGGAGAAAUUCAGUGUGAGGCAACCAAACGUAGUGCAAAAAUAACGAAUCGCGGGUUCAGUUCGCUGAAGAUAGAAGUGGAGUCAAAACGGAGAUCCCGGGAUUGAAUCAGCAGGUUGACAGCAUUAAAAUAACAAAUUACCCAGCAAAGAAAGCUGGUAAUUUUGGGUGCUUUCGACUGCGAUCGUCGCUGAAGUAUAAUAUCCAUUAUUAAGAGC